CGUAUACGUUCGUAUAAAUACCGAUAUUUGUAUAUAUAUUCGUACAUAUACGAUAUUGGUAUUUAGGACAAACGUAAUUU